rnacentral:rRNA from 1 species
CAGCCGCCGCGGGAAUACGUAGGGUGCAAGCGUUAAUCGGAAUUACUGGGCGUAAAGCGCGCGUAGGUGGUUUGUUAAGUUGGAUGUGAAAGCCCCGGGCUCAACCUGGGAACUGCAUCCAAAACUGGCAAGCUAGAGUACGGUAGAGGGUGGUGGAAUUUCCUGUGUAGCGGUGAAAUGCGUAGAUAUAGGAAGGAACACCAGUGGCGAAGGCGACCACCUGGACUGAUACUGACACUGAGGUGCGAAAGCGUGGGGAGCAAACAGGAUUAGAUACCCGAGUAGUCCCUGUCUCUUAUAC